CCAGUGAGACUGUGGGGGAUAAGCUCCAUUGUCAAGAGGGAAACAGCCCAGAGCACCAGUUAAGGCCCCAAAAUGAUUGCUAAGUGGCAAAGGAGGUGGGAGUGCAUAGACAAUCAGGAGGUUUGCUUAGAAGCAGCAAUCCUUUAAAGAGUGCGUAAUAGCUCACUGAUCGAGUAAACCUGCGCCGAAAAUGUACGGGACUAAGUAAUCUGCCGAAACUGUGCGAUA
rnacentral:rRNA from 1 species